rnacentral:rRNA from 1 species
UACGUAGGGUGCAAGCGUUGUCCGGAAUUAUUGGGCGUAAAGCGCACGUAGGCGGCUUGGUAUGUCGGGUGUGAAAUCCCCGGGCUCAACCUGGGAACUGCAUCCGAAACUGCCUUGCUAGAGUAUGGGAGAGGGAAGUGGAAUUUCCGGUGUAGCGGUGAAAUGCGUAGAUAUCGGAAGGAACAUCAGUGGCGAAGGCGACUUCCUGGACCAAUACUGACGCUCAGGUGCGAAAGCGUGGGGAGCAAACAGG